rnacentral:tRNA from 1 species
GGAGGGGUGGCAGAGCGGUCUAUUGCACCUGUCUUGAAAACAGGAGUGUCGCAAGGCACCAUGAGUUCGAAUCUCAUCCCCUCCGCCA